UCCUCCCUUCACAGAUAGCAAACUCUUAACAAAAACAGUAGCUUGAAACCUGGCUGGAUGCCCUUUUAUAGGAAGCUCUUUCAACUGUUGGCUUCUAAUAUUAUACAAAAUCACUUGUCCCUCAUUAGCCUCCAUCAAAAGUUCUUCAGAACUCACAAACAACAAUGGCUUCUCAAUUCCAGAAACUGGCCCAAUUGUCAAUAGCUUUGACCAUGAAACCCCACCAGAUUCAUCCUUCUCCAUCUCCCACAUGUCGAAGCUUCUUUCAUCUCCUCUCGAUGGAUAAUGAAACAGAACGAUGGAUCCAUCCAAAACCCCUAAACUUCUAUACCUGUCACCUGUCCCCUGGAAACUCUCCGGCACCGGAAUUCGGCCGAAAACCUCCUCGCUCAUGUCGAAGGUUUGUAUAAUUUCUGUACCUCCUUCAGUAUCUGCCCACCAGUAAUAUGUUCCUUCGUGAUACAUCUCAAAGCAAGGCGCCCAGAAUACAUGGCCGCAAACAGGGGUUUCAAUUUCUCUCCAUCUAUCUUUGCUCAAAUCAUAAAUUUCCACUCUCGGAGGGUAAAAAUAGCCAGGCCCUUCCACAAAAUCCACAACCCUAACUACUUUGAAAUCCCUAGAUUUCGAAUCGUACCCAAAUCCAACGGCAUUCGUG
rnacentral:misc_RNA from 1 species